rnacentral:rRNA from 1 species
UUCCCAUACCGAACACGGAAGUUAAGCUUCUCAGCGCCGAUGGUAGUUAGGGGCUGUCCCCUUGUGAGAGUAGGACGCUGCCGGGCG